ACGCCGCCCCCGGGCGGCGUUUCGUGCCCUUCAACGGGCCCAUGAGGCGGGGGUGGUGCCGUGUCGGCGCAGCACCACCCCCAGCCGC
rnacentral:ncRNA from 1 species